rnacentral:lncRNA from 1 species
CACUAGCAAUACCAAGAUUGACUUGUAGGAUAGUACCCUCACCAUGGAUUUUUAUGGGGAAGUGGUAAAAUUUAACAUUUAUGAUGCCAUGAAAUAUCCUGCUAAUAUAUCAUGUAUAUGCAGUGUUGAUAUCAUAGAUUCCUUACAGCAAAAACAUUUUGAUUUAUGUUUUGGGGAUAAAUUGAGUAUUAUCCUCGGCAAUACUUUGAAUAUCAACAUUUUGGAGACCUUAGAGGAAAAUUAUGCGACCAAUAAAAACUUGCAAGAAGCUGUGUUUGAGCUAG